rnacentral:rRNA from 1 species
AUUGAACGCUGGCGGCAUGCCUUACACAUGCAAGUCGAACGGUAACGCGGGGCAACCUGGCGACGAGUGACGAACGGGUGAGUAAUGCAUCGGAACGUGCCCAGUAGUGGGGGAUAGCCCGGCGAAAGCCGGAUUAAUACCGCAUACGACCUACGGGUGAAAGCGGGGGAUCGCAAGACCUCGCGCUACUGGAGAGGCCGGGGUCUGAUUAGGUAGUUGGCGGGGUAAAGGCCCACCAAGCCUACGAUCUGUAGCUGGUCUGAGAGGACGACCAGCCACACUGGGACGGAGACACAGCCAAGACUGCUACGGGAGGCAGCAGUGGGGAAGUUUGGACAGUGGUGGCAACCCUGAGCCAGCCAUGCCGCGUGCGGGAAGAAGGCCUUCGGGUUGUAAACCGCUUUUGUCGGGGAAGAGAUCUUCCGGGCUAAUACCCUGGGGGGAUGACGGUACUCGGAGAAUAAGCACCGGCUAACUACGUGCCAGCCGCCGCGGUAAAAC